GAUGAACGCUGGCGGCGUGCCUAAUACAUGUAAGUCGAGCGAACAGACGAGGAGCUUGGUAAUAUGAAGUUAGAGGGGGAAGGGUGAGUAAAACGUGGAUAAAAUAAAUAUAAGGAUGGGAUAAAUUGGGGAAAACGGAGCUAAUACCGGAUAAUAUAUUGAACCGCAUGGUUCAAUAGUGAAAGACGGUUUUGCUGUCACUUAUAGAUGGAUCCGCGCCGCAUUAGCUAGUUGGUAAGGUAACGGCUUACCAAGGCAACGAUGCGUAGCCGACCUGAGAGGGUGAGCGGCAAAACGGGAAAUGAGACACGGUCCAGACCCCUACGGGGGGCAGCAGGAGGGAAUUUUCCGCAAUGGGCGAAAGCCUGAGGGAGAAACGCCGGGUGAGGGAUGAAGGUUUUCGGAUCGUAAAACUCUGUUAUUAGGGAAAAAAAAAUGUGUAAGUAACUAUGCACGUUUUGACGGUACCUAAUCAAAAAGCCACGGCUAACUGCGG
rnacentral:rRNA from 1 species